GGGGGGUUGCCUGGGCUUCGACCUCAGCCCACUUCUGUGGUCGUAAUAGUGGAGAGUUUAGCUUAGGUUUGCCGUAAAGUAAGAAGACUUGACUUGCGCAAAUAACGUGCUGAACGCCUGGGUGUAGGUGCCAAGCCGUGAACGCGGAGCUGGGGGCGCGAAAAUAAAUUAGUCGUGGGACCGCUGGUUUCAGGAGCUAACGCCAGAACGAAGGAGAGAAACUGAUUAAUAUGAGGAUACAAAUAUUUCGGUUACAUUGUUUUCAAUUCUAAGGUAAAGUUAUAGCUGAGCCCUUCACCCAGGCUGCAUGCUGAGCACCCUCUCACUGUGCACAUUAGGGUAAAGUUCCAUAUGUAGAAGAGCUCCUCACCCAGGGGGUGUAUUAUAUAUACCCUGACAAUGUGCACAUUAGCAUAUGCUUCUUGGAAGACUCAGACUAACACAAAUACCAGGAGUGGUCCAAGGAAACAGGUGGCAAGAUGGAGACUUGGCUCACUUGGGACUGCCUCAAUUACAGCCCAACAGAUGAAGAGGAUGCUGUCCUGGUGGGACUUGGCGCAAGGUGGAGCUUCAGUUGUUAAAGAUUUCGCUAAUGGUGACCUGGGAAAGUGUUGUCUCGGGAGGGGAAUGCUGACAGAGGGGAAAGCUGUGGCAGGUGCUGUAUUUUAGGCCUAUCAAAAAUACAGGAAAAUCAAGCCAUACAUGGUAGCUCAUGCCUGUGAUCCCAGUGCUUUAGGAGGCUGAGGCGGAGAAUUGCUUGAAGGCAGGAGUUUGUGACAAGCCUGAGAAAUAUAGUGAAACUUUGUUUCUCAAAAAAAAAAAAAAAAAAAAAACAAUUAGCCAGGCUUGGUGGCACCCAUCUAUAGUCCUAGCUACUCAAAAGGCUAAGAGGCUGAGGCAGGAGCAUCACUUGGGAUCAGGAAUUCAAGUUUGCAGUGAGCUAUGAUUGUACCACUGCACUCUAGCCUUGGCAACAGAGUAAGACCCUGUCUUGGAAGAGUGAGAAAGGAAAGGGAAAGGAAGGGAAGAAACAAAGAGGGGAUGAUGCUUACAAAGACAGUGGAGUUGGCUUAUUGCUGCUAAGUUGUAGUGAUACUCUAAAGAAGAAUGAGAGACUGAAGACCUUUAACAAAUAACUAAUGAUUAAGUGUAAGAUUCAGAACCUCUCUUAUAGCUUACAAAGAGAGCCCAUCUCUUCCAGUAGAAGGGCAGGCACAUUUGAGGAGCAGACUGAAGACCUAAAGCAUGACUACUGUUUGCAUUGCUCAGCCAAAGCAACAGUGUUAGGUGAAAAUUAAGGUCUUAAUGAUAAAAACGGGAUUGGCUUGGUGCCUGUUGCUCAGUGGUUAGGGUGUCAGCCACAUGCAUGGGGCUAGUGGGUUUGAACACAGCCCGAGCCUGCUAAACAAUGACAACAAAAAAUAGCCAGGCGUUGUGGUGGGCACCUGUAGUCCUAGCUACUUGAGAGGCUGAGGCAAGAGAAUCACUGAAGAGUUUGAGGUUGCUGUGAGCUGUGAUGCCACAGUGCUCUACUGAGGGUGACAAAGUAAGACUAUGCUCAAAAAAAAAAAAAAGAUAAAAACCUGGGAUCCUAAAAUAUGGGUGGUACAUCUGGAUGGGUGCCUUUGCAGAUAUUGGCUUCUGGACCCUCUGGGCUUACUAAAGAGGUGGCCUAUACAUGCUAAUAAGACCUAUCACUUUCAUUGUGUUGGUGGUAAGUGCCCUCCUCUGAAGCUGCCCUCACCCAUUCUCCUUUUCUGCCUACCAGACUGAUAACUUAGGGUUGUGCUGGGCCUGAUAAGGAAGAACAGAGACUAUAUACUUAAAGAAUUGCAAGACUUAGCAGGAGUCAGGGAGUAUUUCUGAGAUUAGUAUUUAGGGGUGCUUAUCAAGGGUACCAGAAUGGAAGACUGGAUAAGAAGAACUUCACUGGGCGGCGCCUGUGGCUCAUUGAGUAGGGCGCCGGCCCUAUGUACCAAGGGUGGUGGUUUCAAACCCAGCCCCAGCCAAACUGUAAUUAAAAAAAAAAAAGCCAGGCGUUGUGGCAGGCGCCUAUAGUCCCAGCUACUUGGGAGGCUGAGGCAAGAGAAUCGCCUAAGCCCAAGAGCUGGAGAUUGCUGUGAGCUGUGAUGCUACAGCACUCUACCGAGGGCAACAAAGUGAAACUCUGCCUCUAAAAAAAAAAAAGAAAAGAAAAGAAAUUAUUUUCCAGGGCUUUUAUUUAAAAGUUGAUCAAGACUACCAUUGACUUUUGAUUAUAAUAGCUUAACAUCUAUGAUACUAUAUGUUUUUUAAGAAAUUAUAUACCUUUAACUUCUUUUCUGUCUUAAGAUACAUAAUAUAGGGUGGCACUGUGGCUCAGUGAGUAGGGUGCCGGCCCCAUAUACCGAGGGUGGUGGGUUCAAACCCAGCCCCGGCCAAACUGCAACAAAAAAAUAGCUGGGUGUUGUGGCAGCACCUGUAGUCCCAGCUACUUGGGAGGCUGAGGCAAGAGAAUUGCCUAAACCCAGGAUUUGGAGGUUGCUGUGAGCUGUGAUGCAAUGGCACUCUACCAACGGCGAUAAAGUGAGACUCUGUCUCUAAAAAAAAAAAAAAAAAAAAAAAAUUAAAAAAAAAGAUACAUAAUAUAUUAAGAUAUAUCUAUUAGCCUUUAUUGAAGGAUAUUAAAGAAGAAAAGAUAUAUCUAUAUAGUACAACACAAAUGUAUGCAUCUGUGUGUCUAAACACACAAACAAUUUAGUGAGGGGGAGGGUUUCUUCUUGUUUCUCUAGCUCUGAUGAAAUAACCAACUGAAAAUCUUGCAAACUUUGUAGGGUGCAGUGGCUCACGCCUGUAAUCCUAGCACUCUGGGAGGCCAAGGCAGGUGGGUAGCUUGAGCUCACGAGUUUGAAACCAACCUGAGCAAAAUGCAAGACCCUGUCUCUACUAAAAAUAGGAAAAUUGAGGCAAGAGGAUCACCUGAGCCCAGGAGUUGGAGGCUGCUGUGAGUCAUGAUGCCAUGGCACUCUACCCAUGGCAGCAACAGCUAGAGACUCUGUCUCAAAAAAGAAAAAAAAAGAAAGA